CUGUCAGCCUUACCUGCCUCAUCAAACCAUUUCUGAAGCUUUGUUCUGAGUAUCAGUUACUAAUUAUUUAUCAACUCACUUGACUGAUUUUAUUUCAUGAGGAUGUUAUCCCUUUCCACAUUUUUGAAGGAUUUAAGCUAUUUUGAGCUAAGACAUUGUGCAGCUAAGACAUUUGUUUUUUAAUCACACAUUUUUUUAUUAAGUAUAGUUAUUAAAGUAUGGCUAUUAUGCUCUCUAAUUCCAGCAUAAGCAAACACAUACAUAAAGCAUGUUAAGAAAAACAUUUCAUUUAAAUUUUUUUAUAUAAAACGCAUGACUAUACUAAGCAUCACUUACAGAGCUAACUUUCAUUGUUUUACACUGGAUUUUUGUUACUGAGGGAUGCCCCAAGAGAAUAGAUCUAUUUCACUAUACCAGUGGGUAGAGGAUAGGUGGUACGGGGCAGGUUUGUUUGUUUCUUUUAAGUGAAUUUGGUAUCUGUGAAAUGUAUAGCAACUUGAGGUUUCCAGAUUUUCUCAAAUUGUUGUUUCUUCUCUUGCUUUUUGUUGUUGUUGUUGUUUUUCUUGUUCUUAAUGUGCUAAAGUGAUUAUUUGCUUUUAGCUAUGCCUUCUAAGAUUGCUCUAGCCCUCCAUCCAUGAUGUAAUUCACAUUGAUCUGGAAAAUAGACCCAAACAAAUUACACUUAACCAAGUGUUCCCUUUUUUUUUUUUUUUUUUUUAAUAACUUCUUGAGGCCUCCACAUAAACUUCUCAAAGCUUCUUGUGGUAUGACAGCAAUAUAUUCUUCUUGGCUUUCAGUUCAUGUUAUCGGCUGUACAAUAUAUAAACGUAUUCACUGAAUGAGAUAAUUCAUGAAAGUCCCAGAUCAUGCAAAUAAUGUUACUCAUUAGGAUAUUAUUAUCUACCUUAGAUAAAGAGUAUACAAGAGUAUAAACUUUUCUGGGAUUGCACUAUACAUUAGGCAAGUUUAAUGAAAUUAAGUAGUUUGGAAAUAUAAGUAGUAUCAAUUUCUAGCCAAUCGUUGUCUAUAUAUAUAGAUAUUGAAUGUGUCUUAAAAGAAGAAUUUCAAGGAAAUAUGACAGUGUCAUGUGUGAGAAGUAGCUUUUUCCUUCUUUGGUAAGCAUUACAGAUGAAGGAAAGAGAAGUGACAACUUAGUUUACUCAUUUAAUGAAGCAAUAGUUUUUUUACAUUUAUAUAUGCCCAGAUUGCAGGAAGUCUUAAAGGUAAAGACAAGAGAAAAAACAAAAAGGAAAAAAAUCAUAAUUAGGCAGAAAAUCCCUAUUAGAUAUAAAAUUUCAAACAGGAAAUGACUCUGAUAAUGUCAUAGCAGCAGCAGACAACAG